GACGAACGCUGGCGGCGUGCUUAACACAUGCAAGUCGAACGAUGAUGCCAGCUUGCUGGUGGAUUAGUGGCGAACGGGUGAGUAACACGUGAGCAACCUGCCCCUGACUUCGGGAUAACCGCGGGAAACCGUGGCUAAUACCGGAUAUGACGCGCUAUCGCAUGGUGGUGUGUGGAAAGAUUUAUCGGUUGGGGAUGGGCUCGCGGCCUAUCAGCUUGUUGGUGGGGUGAUGGCCUACCAAGGCGACGACGGGUAGCCGGCCUGAGAGGGUGACCGGCCACACUGGGACUGAGACACGGCCCAGACUCCUACGGGAGGCAGCAGUGGGGAAUAUUGCACAAUGGGCGCAAGCCUGAUGCAGCGACGCCGCGUGAGGGAUGACGGCCUUCGGGUUGUAAACCUCCUUCAGUAGGGAAGAAGGCCUUCGGGUUGACGGUACCUGCAGAAGAAGCGCCGGCUAACUACGUG
rnacentral:rRNA from 1 species